rnacentral:rRNA from 1 species
GACGAACGCUGGCGGCGUGCUUAACACAUGCAAGUCGAACGGAAAGGCCCUGCUUUUGUGGGGUGCUCGAGUGGCGAACGGGUGAGUAACACGUGAGUAACCUGUCCUUGACUUUGGGAUAUCUUCAGGAAAAUGGGGCUAAUACCGGAUAGGAUCUCCUGCUGCAUGGUGGGGGUUGGAAAGUUUCGGCGGUUGGGGAUGGACUCGCUGCUUAUCAGCUUGUUGGUGGGGUAGUGGCUUACGAAGGCUUUGACGGGUAGCCGGCCUGGGAGGGUGACCGGCGACAUUGGGACUGCGGGACGGCGCAGACUCCUACGGGAGGCAGCAGUGGGGAGUAUGACAGAGUGGGCGGAAGCCUGAGGCAACAACGCCGCGUGCGGGAUGACGGCCUUCGGGUUGUAAACCGCUUUCGCCUGUGACGAAGCGUGAGUGACGGUAAUGGGUAAAGAAGCACCGGCUAACUACGUG